rnacentral:lncRNA from 1 species
CUCGCGUGGAGUUAAUUCCUUUCUUAGGAUUCCCAGGACACUUUAGGGUGCAGCUCUAUAACCCAAAGAAAAUGUAGGUGCAGCUACACAAUGAAUGAGGACCAUUGGGACAGUCACUUGUGAUAAUUCAGUCAGAGCAAAAUGUUUGGCCUCUCAAGUGGAAAACUGCUUCUGGUUUGCAGUGGCUCUGAGAUGAGUCUUAAGAGAAUGAACUCACUUCACAUGGCCAGCUCCCUGCCAAAGCACUCUACUCCAGGAAUAAGAUGUUUAAUCCUUUCAAUUCAAUGACUAUAGCAGCGAAGAAAAGAGACAAUGAUUCCCAACAGAGCUAAACCACAUGUAAAAAACAAGGAGAAUGUGCCAGGCUGUCUCAUGAUCAAGUAUUUAUAGUAAAGCUAUUAAUGGAAUGGCAACUCCAGGGGAGUGGAGAUCCUAAAUAGAAAUGAAAAUUCUGAUGCACUCAUCUUCAACAGCAAGAACUUCAGUGCCGUCCUAAAGGACAUAACAGAGGAAGUCUGUCCUCAUUUCACAUGGAUAAUUACACCAGCGACGAAGACGGAGAUGAUGACUUUGACACCCAGCUCAUCAUUCAACAGAGUUUACAGGAUAUUCACAAGCCAGGAACUACACAGCAGGCACCUGAGGAGGAGAGGCUGGCUUACGGUCCUUGCCGUAGAGAAGCUAACAGUCCAACAAGGGAAGACAGACACGGGAGAGGAGAUUCCUCAGAACGCAUUAAGGGCC